UACGUAGGGGGCUAGCGUUGUCCGGAUUUAUUGGGCGUAAAGAGCGUGUAGGCGGCCAGGUAGGUCUGCUGUGAAAACUCGAGGCUCAACCUCGAGACGUCGGCGGAAACCAUCUGGCUAGAGUCCGGAAGAGGAGAGUGGAAUUCCUGGUGUAGCGGUGGAAUGCGUAGAGAUCCGGAAGAACACCGGUGGCGAAGGCGGCCUGCUGGGCAGUUUUGCUGACACUGAGGCGCGACAGCGUGGGGAGCAAACAGG
rnacentral:rRNA from 1 species